AAGGAUCUAUCGAAGCUUGUGCAUUGAUAUUAUCUUUGCAGAAGUCAAAACAAUCCAAAAGAAAAUUCAGUGAUUCGGGUGGCACUUUUAUUUUUCAUAAAUAAUCGUGUCUAUCGAAUCUCUUACACUC
rnacentral:snoRNA from 16 species